GUUUGGUAAUAUCAGAAGGAGAGAAAUGCUAGUAUGCCAAAUGUGUUUGGAACUACCCACUGGAGUGGCAUAAAACAUAGUCAUUACAUCUGUUUAUAAUAUGUAUUCGAUAAUUCUGAUAUUUCAAGAUUUGGGGGGUGAGGCAUAUGGUAUCUAUUAUUUCUACCUAUUAUUAUUUUUCAUAACCAUCACUUCUAGUUUUGCAAUCUUUUCUUUUCCUUUAAUUUUCUCUUUUUUAUUGAUCUUAUUUGUUAUUAUCUCUUUAAUGAUCUUAAUUUUUAUAAAUCUGUAAUAUCUUUUAUGACGUUGUUCUAUUUUCUCCCCACUUUAUCUAUAGUCUAUUAAUAUCCUGAAAUUUCAGGCAGCCUUUCUUAGGGUUAUUUAGUUCUAAUUAGUUUUAGACUUUUGUUUUGAUUCUCAUCUGGAUAGGGUUGUUUCUCUCUCCUUCUCCUUCCCUCUAUUAAUCCAUUUCUUGCUUACGGUUUCUUCCUCCAAGUCCCUCCUCCAUCCUGGGACUUCUGCUCCAGCCCAUGAUUCAUAUCAUUGUAGCUGCUGUGAUUAGAGAGGAGCCAUCAGCACCCCUGGACAGAAACAAGAACCAGCCUGGAGUGAGAGCCUCUGAGCACCAGAGUUUGGUGAGGAAAAUUUUUCUUACUCUACAAGUCAUAACUAAUGCUGACAUAUACAAUCUAAAGGGAAGUACAGUUUUCCUACACUUUUCUCUUCCAUCUCAUUUUGAAACCUCAUCAAAAAGUUUCAGACUCUUUUUGUGAUUUCUAACAAAGAAUGGCUCAUUUAACAUUUUGACCUCUGUUGCUCAACUGUUCUCCUUCAGAGGGUGUCUUCUUUAAUGGGUUGGUUUUACAUAAAAAGGAUUUGACUAUAUUCAAUAUUAAAACAAACAUCAAUUAACAUAUUUGUUGGGUUUUUAUGCUGCCAAAUCGUUGGUUACACUGUUUCCCUUUCCAAGCUUGUUUUGGCAUUGUCAAAACUAUGUCUGAGCUACCCAGACUCUUUCCUAACUUCAGGACCCAAUUGCUUGGUUCCAGUAUCAGGAGGCAAUGAGUCAUUAGAGCCCAUCAGACUUCAUAGGGCCACAUAUGUGAUGUGGAAGUUAGAAAGCUGUUUCAUUGCCCAAUAUCUAUCCUGUCCCAUUUGAUUCACUUUUUCAGUUUGAUUACAGUCAACUUAUACCAUUUUCUACAUCACUAAUGGAAAUAUUCAAUACAAAGGCUGAAAUGAGACUGUGGUAACUGUCCUUCUACUUUUACCAACAUGAGAGAUCCUUUAUUACUGAAUGUUCUGGAAGGCUGAAAUAUUUACCAGUGCAAAUAUAAAUAAUUACGAUGGUUGCAAGUGUAUUCCUGGGCAAUGAGAAAUUCAGUUUGUCCUUGUCAAAAUAAAAACAAAAGAACAAAACA
rnacentral:lncRNA from 1 species